UACGGAGGGUGCGAACGUUAAUCGGAAUCACUGGGCGUAAAGCGCGCGUAGGCGGUUUGUUAAGUGGGAUGUGAAAAUCCCCCGGGCUUAACCUGGGAAUUGCAUUUCAAACUGGCCGACUAGAGUACGGUAGAGGGAGGUAGAAUUUCCUGUGUAGCGGUGAAAAUGCGUAGAUAUAGGAAGGAAUACCAGUGGCGGAAGGCGGCCUCCUGGAUCGAUACUGACGCUGAGGCGCGAAAGCGUGGGAGCAAACAGG
rnacentral:rRNA from 1 species